AUGGAUCUGGGGUUUGAGAAAGCUUCUCAGCCUGCAAUCAAUCGCCUCAUCUCCAAAGAACGAGUCAAUUCAGAGUCAACGGGGCUCUCUUUCUGCUCUUCCUCUUAAAAAUUUUGUCGAGCACCUGACACUCAUGCAAAACCACAGCUUGUCCAGCUGCGCAGAUUCUUUGUGUAAUUUAUCACGAGGAAUAUAUGCAGAGAUCCGUCUCUAGUAGUUGCUGCUUCAUGCGGAAUCACGGAUUCAGGUCUACUAAACUUUUCAUAUGUUCUCUCCCACACAGAAUAUUUCCACCAUCAUCUUCUUUUGCUGGGCCAUCACUUUCAAAAAGCAGUCUUCUUGGGGGCGCAUCAUUUCCUUUUUUUCUUCCUCCGAAAGGAUAUAGCUGUAAAUUUACGUUCUUGAUUAGAAGCAUGUCAUCCACGGCAAGUUUGGAGUCUAUGAAGGAGCAUACAGUUCCUGAUAAUGGAGUUGAGCAGGUUCAGUUGCUCAAUGGAGUUGAGGAUCUAUACGAUGGAGUAGUUGUGGAAAUAAAGGAGUAUAUGGACUCCAAUAGUUUUAUUCCGUUACUUAGAGCUUCCAUUUCACAAUGGAAGCAACAGGGUAAGAGGGCUGUUUGGAUCAAAUUGCCAAUUGAAUUUUCUAAUCUCGUCAAUCCUGUAGUUCAGGAAGAGUUUAGGUACCAUCAUGCUGAACCAGAUUACUUGAUGUUAGUGCGUUGGCUACCUAAUACUCGUGAUACUCUUCCGGUAAAUGCUUCACAUCGAGUGGGUAUUGGAGCAUUUAUAGUGAAUAAUAAUAGAGAGGUCCUUGUAGUUCAAGAAAGGAGUGGUGGAUUUAAAGGUACAGGGUUAUGGAAGUUACCUACUGGAGUAGUCAAUGAGGGUGAGGAUAUUUGUGAAGCUGCAAUUCGGGAGGUUAAAGAAGAAACUGGAGUAAGUAAUAAAUUUACAAUUUGUGGACUUAAAAAAGGAACAUGACUUGGAAUUUGUCUUUAAAUUCUUAGAUGUCAUUAUAAAUCUGAGGUCUUUAAUCUUUAUUUUGUAUCAGAUUGAGGCAGAAUUUGUAGAAGUUUUAGCAUUUAGGUAAGAUAUCUGUUAUUUGAACUUCUACAUCAUGGAUCUCUAGAUUUUUGUGCUGUGUAUAGAACAUAUGGUACUUUGUGCUAAAGAGAUCUUUCAAUUGGAGAAUCCAUUGAGCCAGUAUAGAUAAAAAGCUCUAGGUUCUCAUAUGGUGUUCCCUUGAAUACUGAUUUAUUCACAAUCUCAUUUUUAUUGUUUAUCAACAGACAAAGCCACAAUUCAUUCUUUCGCAAAUCAGAUUUAUUUUUCGUUUGCAUGUUACGACCGCUUUCCUUUGACAUCCAGAAGCA
rnacentral:misc_RNA from 1 species